rnacentral:rRNA from 1 species
UAGGGAAUCUUCCGCAAUGGACGCAAGUCUGACGGAGCAACGCCGCGUGAGUGAAGAAGGAUUUCGGUUCGUAAAACUCUGUUGUUAGAGAAGAACAGCGCAUAGAGUAACUGUUAUGCGUGUGACGGUAUCUACCCAGAAAGCCACGGCUAACUACGUGCCAGCAGCCGCGGUAAUACGUAGGUGGCAAGCGUUGUCCGGAUUUAUUGGGCGUAACGCGAGCGCAGGCGGUCAAUUAAGUCUGAUGUGAAAGCCCCCGGCUCAACCGGGGAGGGUCAUUGGAAACUGGUUGACUUGAGUGCAGAAGAGGAGAGUGGAAUUCCAUGUGUAGCGGUGAAAUGCGUAGAUAUAUGGAGGAACACCAGUGGCGAAGGCGACUCUCUGGUCUGUAACUGACGCUGAGGCUCGAAAGCGUGGGUAGCAAACAGG